AAUCACCGCUCUCUACGAGCUCUUCUUUGGCUUCUGUCUUCUCACUCUUCUUGUUCUUAUCGGAACCAAGGCAGACAGCUCUUUGGCAGAUGCAGGUUGCUAGGUUCUCUUUUUUCCAAAGGUUAACACCCAGUUGUCUGUAUCAGCAAUAUCAGAAAAGCUCCACGCUCUGUCAGUUUCCCAGUUUCAAAACCCUUUAUACCAACAAUCUGUUUGAGAUUUUACAGGUCCUCUUUGUUCUCAAUUUUACGGUUUAUAGAUUUUACAGUUUCUUCAGGUUACGGGUUGCGGCUAAGACAGACCCACACAGAGAAGGGUGAUUGCUCGAGCACCCAUUGACUUGAAAUUCUAGGUCCGCCACUGGUCCGAAUCUUGAAUCUUUUUGUGCUGAUUUUUUCUUCCACUGGAAACAUGAGGUAACUCCCGAAGUUUGAAUUCAAUUCAAUCAUAGAACAAAAUAGUGCUCCAUUAUAGCACCUAUUCCUACUCUCUUAGCUUUCUUUUAAUUGUCUCUUGCAAAAUCCUGCAACUUGAGUCAAUGAGCAUCGUAUAUUAGUUCUCUGGUUCCUAAUUUUUUCUUCUUUUAUACUUUAUUAUCUUUCAAAGAAAAGCUUUGUGAAAAAAUGCACGUCUUUAAACUGUAAAGUUAUCUAUUUGUUGUUUUACAUGAUCAUCUGAUACUUGGGUCGCACAAAUGAAUGGUAGAAAUUAAACAAUUUAUCAGCUAUAAAAAAUUUAUCAGGAAUUCGCAGAUAUAUGACCAAUUUGUAAGUCCUUUUAUUUCUCCCAGUGAUUUUUUCCUUCCUGAGUGAGAACUAUACAAUUUAUGAUAAAAUUGUAUGCAUAGAAACACGAUUAUUUACAUCUGUUGCUAAUGCUAUUCAAUAUUGAUAAUUCUCUGUAUUGCUUGGCUAAUGUGUUGAGUCCAUUUUCAUCAGAUGGGGAGUGACUGUUUCGUUUAUCUUAUCGAUCUAAGAUUUCUCAAAGUUCUCUAUCUCCAAACAGUUCUCCUCUUGCUCCUUUGUUCCUAAUAUUGCUACUGGAGUUCUCUCUGGAUUAUUAUUUUCUGGUGGAUAUUCUUCUUUUUAUUAUUUGUUUCUUCUAUCAUCUGUUUUAUCUUCGAUGACAUGUUAGAAAUUUGUGUUUUCUUAUGAGGUCUUCGGGCUUUUGGGCACACAAACUUUAACAUGCCAAGAGAUUUUGUAACGUAGGUGUUUGAGAAAUUUAUUCGAAGUAGGCUUUCUAUUAUAUUUCUUUUUCAUCUCACUGCUUUCUCUAUUCUCAGGUAUUAUUUUAUGGUUCCAUUUUGGCAAAGAUUAUGUUGUAAAAACUAGCUUUGAGCAUUACAUAGAGACUGAAGUAUUACUUUCUCUCAAUGCCAAAACGCGUUAAAUCUCCAUCCGCCAAGUUUUUUAUCUUUGUGUUCUUCAGUUGUUGCUUCGAUUUUCUGUGCCUAUCGAUAUUUGAUUUUCUUUCACCGUUCAUUAAUGAUUUAAGGUGAGCUUUUUGCUUGUUCUUUUUGUUUCUUUUCUCCAGUUAUUUUUGUUUUUCUUAUGAUUCUAGAUGCGUCUUUGUCUCUACUGAUAAAAUUUGACAAUAGUAAUUUUUCGAAGCUCUUCAAAAUAUGGAGGUACACUAUAAGAGAGAAACAAAGAGAAGUUUUCUUUUUUACAUACAAAAGAAGUUACUGAAACAGUUUGGAUCCAUGCUUGUGGAAACUGGGAAUCUAAUGUGACCUCUUUGUCACACAGGGUAAUUCAACAGUUUCAUUUCUUUUGGAUGAAUCGCUGAUCUUUAUUUUGGUUAGCUUGACUGCAGGCAGAGAGACUCUUUACCGGAAAUACUGUAAAAUAAAAUUGUAUAUUUAGGUAUCCCAUGUAAUUAGUUAGACUUCUAAUUUUUUCUUAAUAUGAAUCACAUAAUAUUUAGGAGGCGCUUCAUUAUUGUUCAGGGCUCCUCAAAUAAGGCCUGCCAAUUAAUGUUUACACUGUUUGUAAACUUCUAAAUUUCCUUUAAAUAUUUUCUCUUCAUUUGAUACGUCUGACUUUGACAGUUAAUACCAUGCUUUACUUAUUAGGAGAUUGGUUACUGUUGUGAUAUUUUCGCUUGGCUUGGAAAUUUGUAUUUAAUUUUAAUAUGCCCAGUAGCUUUUAGUUGAGUUUGAAGUAUUCACCAAGAUGACAAAAGGAACAAAACAAAUAUGCAUUUGAAGAGGUGCUGAAAUCCACCCAGGUAAACUUGUUUUAUGUGUCUUAAAAGCCUGUAUGUGUUACCAAGCUCUUCUUUUUAUCAGUUUGAGAUUGUGUAUGUUGUUGCCAAAUUUUUGUUUGACCACUUUUGGGUGAGUUCAAUUUAUACUGUAUUAUUUUUAUUUUUCCCCUUCUGCUUCAAACUAUUUGGUCCUGAAGAAAUUUGCGGUGGUCAUUUUUUAUCUAUAUUUCGGGUUUAUCGUUUGCACUACAGAGGUAAUGAUGGAACUACUGAAAGAGGUUGUGACAGUAGUUGCCAAAGGAGUUGACGAAGGUGAGACUUGCUGGUCACCACGCGCUGACCCGCCAUCGAUGGUCAUUUUGCUAACUGGAAAGUUAUUUUGGAUAAUAACAUUGUUUUUAUUUGGCAGUUAGUGUUGAAUUGAGCAAGGGAGAGAUGGAGUAGUCCAACCGGUUCAAACAACUGCUAGAAUGUACCAAAACAUCAUUUUAUACAUCUCUAAAGACUUUUCAAGGCAUGUGAUGAUAACUUAUGAUAAGGUAGUUGUUAUGGUGCAAUUGAUUGUCUUUAUUCAGAGACAGUGAAUUAUUCUGUUAAAUUCUCUUAUGAUGAAGGUUUGUCAGUUGUGACUUCCUUA